rnacentral:tRNA from 1 species
GGCGGUGUAGCCAAGACAGCCAAGGCGUCUGCCCGCAAUGCAGAUCAUCGGGAGUGCAAUUCUCUCCGCCGCCUCCA